rnacentral:rRNA from 1 species
AACGAACGCUGGCGGCAUGCCUAACACAUGCAAGUCGAACGAGAUCUUCGGGUCUAGUGGCGCACGGGUGCGUAACGCGUGGGAAUCUGCCCUUUGGUUCGGAAUAACAGUUGGAAACGACUGCUAAUACCGGAUGAUGACGAAAGUCCAAAGAUUUAUCGCCAGAGGAUAAGCCCGCGUAGGAUUAGCUAGUUGGCGUGGUAACGGCGCACCAAGGCGACGAUCCUUAGCUGGUCUGAGAGGAUGAUCAGCCACACUGGGACUGAGACACGGACCUGACUCCUACGGGAGGCAGCAGUGGGGAAUAUUGGACAAUGGGCGAAAGCCUGAUCAAGCAAUGCCGCGUGAGUGAUGAAGGCCUUAGGGUUGUAAAGCUCUUUUACCCGGGAUGAUAAUGACAGUACCGGGAGAAUAAGCUCCGGCUAACUCCGUGCCAGCAGCCGCCGUAA